UUCGUAGGCGGUGCGGCAAGUCGGGAGUGAAAUCUCUGGGCUUAACUCAGAGGCUGCUUCCGAAACUGCCGUGCUCGAGUGUGGGAGAGGCGCGUGGAAUUGCAGGUGUAGCGGUGAAAUGCGUAGAUAUCUGCAGGAACACCCGUGGCGAAAGCGGCGCGCUGGACCACAACUGACGCUGAGGAACGAAAGCUAGGGGAGCAAACAGGAUUAGAUACCCUGGUAGUCCUAGCCCUAAACGAUCAGGACUUGGGGUCGCCGCCCGUUCGGGCGUCCGUCCCGGAGCUAACGCGUUAAGUCCUGCACCGUGGGGAGUACGGUCGCAAGACUGAA
rnacentral:rRNA from 1 species